AAGCUUGAAAUUAAAAGUUAAUAGUUAGUAAGUUAGAAGUUAGUAUUGUUUUGUUUUUCAUUUCAAGACAUUCUUUGGAGAACACUCAACCCACUUAUCACAAGCAUGGAUCCUUGAACCAAAACAUCUUCCAAAGGAAGGAAAGAAGACCAAGUUUCCACAUAAUACCAUGAAAGAGGGGAGACUUACAAUCUUACUAACUA
rnacentral:lncRNA from 1 species